AUCUCAAGUCAUGUGAGAGUACCCGCUGAACUUAAGCAUAUCAAUAAGCGGAGGAAAAGAAACUAACAAGGAUUCCCCUAGUAACGGCGAGUGAAGCGGGAAGAGCACAAAUUUAAAAUCUACCUGGUUUUCAGGUCGAGUUGUAAUUUGAAGAUACGUUUUUGACGUUCAGGGUUGGACUAAAUCCUUUGGGAUAAGGUAUCAUGGAGGGUGAGAAUCCCGUAUAUACCAACCAUAGGGAUGUUAUUUAAUACGUUUCUAAGAGUCGAGUUGUUUGGGAAUGCAGCUCUAAAUGGGUGGUAAAUUUCACCUAAUGCUAAAUAUAAGCGAGAGACCGAUAGCGAACAAGUACAGUGAUGGAAAGAUGAAAAGAACUUUGAAAAGAGAGUUAAAUAGUACGUGAAAUUGUUGAAAGGGAAACGAUUGAAGUCAGUCAUGCCGGUGGGAAUCAACUUAGGGGAAACUCUAAGUGCACUUCUUCGCUUGGCAGGUCAACGUCGAUUUUGGAUGUCAUAAAAUGAUUGGGGGAAGGUAGCUCCUUAGGGAGUGUUAUAGCCCUUGGUAGAUGUGAUGUCUGGGAUCGAGGAUUGCAAUGGAUACCCUUUGGGGCUAGCUGCCUGAUCUCUAAUUGGUAUUGGGUUACGGAUAGCAUGCUGACCGUGAUCUAAUUAUUGGUUAAAAGGUUAGAGCGUGCAUAAAUUCAUUAAGGACGUUGACGUAAUGGCUUUAAACGACCCGUCUUGAAACACGGACCAAGGAGUCUAACAUGUGUGCGAGUGUU
rnacentral:rRNA from 1 species